rnacentral:lncRNA from 1 species
UUCUCUUCCCCCUCUCGUCGGGUAAGUCGCAGGUAUGGCCAUGGGGUAAUCGGUUCAGAUCUCGCGCUCCUUGUUUCGCUGUUCGUCGUUUGAUUGUAAUUCCAGGCGAGCGUUUCUGUCUGGGUUGUGGUGCUCCUUACGUUGAUUUCGAUCGAGGCGUAGUUCCGGUGAUUUGUCCUCCUCCGUUCCGGUGAUGUUGGUAUCGUCUUCUGAACCUCGCUGCUUUGGUUUAGGUCGCAGCUAAUCUAUUUUGCUUUGACUUCUGAUCUGAUUUAGGGUCGUGGCUAAUCCAUCAUGCUGAUUGCGAUAUGAUUUAGGGUCGUGGCUUAUCCAUUUUUAUCCUAAUUGCUGAUUUGAUUCAAGGCUGUCACGAUUAAUGGAGAUUAUUUUUGGCGAGAGCAACCAGUUGUGUUAGUUUAAUGGAGAUUAUUUAAACGUGGAGCAGUUUAUUUGCUUUCAUCUCUGUUCGUUACGGUGGAUUGGUCUUGGUCGGUUUAGUUGAUUCCUUGGAGAUGUUUGACAUGAUCGGAAUAAGAGAUUGAAGGUUGAGUGGUUUGGAUUGGUCUGUUCCAUUGGUGAUUCAAUAAUGUUCUGCGUACAGUGCUUUAUCUUUUUGCGGUGAAAAACAGUGAUUUGGGAGACAGUCCAGACAGUCAAAUUUCUGCAGUUUUUCUGCUUUUGAUCCCGUUCUUUCAUGACUUAGUCAGAUUCAAUAAGAGUUAGAGGAAAAAGGUUUGCUAUGCCUAUCCGGAUAUAUUUGCUUUCGCCUAGCAGCCUAUGCAUGUCAGACCAUAUCAAAGGGAUUUUGCUAUGUUGUGUGCCGUGUUAUAAAUGUAGAGCUGGGAUAUGUAUUUCUUGAACUGUGUGGACAUGCUCAUGGUGGAGAUUCUUCAGUGGCUAUAUUUAGGUGUCACCUUUUGAUUGGUUUCAUUUCAAGAUCUAAGUCAUUUCAAGAUCCCUAAGAAUAUUGGAGGUGCUUGUUUUGUUUACGUGCUAGAUGUAACUUUCUUGGGAAGUACCUUCAAAGAACAUGGAAGUUUGCUUUUGAAGUAACUUGUUCGAAGUUUCAAGUACAUUGAAGAAAGCUGCUGAACUAGUUUACUGCCUGCUGUGUUUUUCUCGGGUGGCACAUCAAGGUCUAUUCAGAUGCUGAUUACUGUGUUGGAAUCUACCAAUCAUUCUGAUCUCUAGUUUGUGAUUUUGAUUUUCUACAUGGAUAUUCGGUUGGGCUUCCGCUGGUUUACAUGCUCCAUCCAGUGUUGGAUUAGUCUUUGCUUGUUAUUAGCAUUCUUACUGUAAUUUAUAGUCAUGUUUUCUUCAUGCAAUUUAUGUUUAUGUUGUACACAAUCAUCAAUUAUGCAUCCUGUAUGAUGUUAUUGGUGUAAUUAUUGAAUGAUAUAUGGGUGAGCCCUUCAUCGUCGUUUGGUUGGGUGCAUAAAAGCUGUAAUAAAUAGCAACUGAAUUUCAUAGCUUGAUGUGUUUCUUUGUUGACAUUAAUACAUUUGUGUUCAUUCCCCUAAUCUCAAGAUAACAAUUAUCACUUUUUGAGCUGUCAUUUUGAACUUCCACAGUGGUUUUCAUUCCUGUGUUCGAUCACUUAAACUGAUAAGUAUGGUGCUUGUAUUCUUUUUAGGUGCUGUCUUUAGUCGUGCACAAGAUCCCUUUUAAUGAUGACAUUAGUUGCUUGUAUUUAAUCUUGAUUCUGCAUCAUUCACGAGUGCCACAUUCUAUAGCUAUUUUAUGUAGUUUGGUAUUAUGCUUCAAGUAUAUUCGAGUCUUCUAUGUUUGCAUUAUUUACAGUCUGCUUUUACUCUUGGAGUUUCCUCACUGUUCAGUGUGAAUUAUUUGAUUUGUAACGAUUUCACAUAGUAUUCGAAGGCAAAUAUUGUGUGAUAAGUGUGAAUUAUGAUUUCAUAUUUGUUCUAAGCUUAUGUUGUUUACAAUUUAUUUCCAACCUGUCAGUGAAUUAUGAUUUUAGUUCAUGUGCUUAGGUCUACCAAUGUUUUUAGAACUCAGCCAAUAACUAUCAACAGUUUUAAGUCACAAUCUACCUUAAUUAUAAGCACAUGGCACAUACCGUUAACUUUCCCCCUUAUUUGGUUGAGAUUAUAAGCAUGACACAAUACUGUUUUUGCUUUGGUUCUACUUUCCCCCACUUAUUGGUUGAGAUGAUAAGCAUGUCAUGCACAAUGAUUAGAACAUUUUAAUCUGUUUUGAGCUUACUUGAAAAUUUUAUUUGUCCCUGAUACGUUGUGCUGUCAUUUUUAUCUCUUCAAUAGAAGGUCACGAUUAGAAAGGUGAAGGGAGGCCUGUAGUUGUUGCAUAAGUAUAUGGAUGCGGGCUUCUGUUUGUAUACUAGUUCUCAUCAAUUUAUAAACUAACCGAGUCAUAUCCUCUUGACCAGUUAUAUUUGUCGUGCUUGCUUAACCACUCUUAAAUUUCUUGGGUACAGUCUGCAUAGUCUAAUUUUGACACAUCUUCUUGUAAUGUCAAUAAUGUAUGUGUUGUUUCAGUGUUCCAAUUCCCACAAUCAUUUCCUUUUGCUUGGCAUAGAACCAUGGUUCUAUCUGAUGAAAUUAUUUAUGCAAGACUCUUGCUUCUGUCCACUGUUCACAUGAAUUUUUUAUGGUUAAUGUCAAUGUUAAAGUGAUGUUACGAGCUGAGUAGGUGUUAGUACGUUCUAUGCUGGUAUUGUUUAGUUACCUUGAAAUACAUUUUAUCUGUGUGGUGGUCGCAAGCUUAGUUUUAAUUCUCAACCUUGGUGGUCAUAUAUAAGUCGGUAGCUUCGGAUGUGUUCCUAGUUUCCUAUAAGCUCGUUCUUCUAUUCGGAACCUGAUGCUAUCCUUGUGCUACAUGUAUGUCUAAAAAUUUCCCUCUGAAUAUUCCUGCCUUCCUUUUCUGCUUGGAAAUUUUAUUGCAAGCUUUGUUAACAAUAAAUGUUUGGUCAGUCUUGGUAUGCCCCUACUUGUUGUUCUGUUUUGGUCUGAGUUUUAGCUUUGUUUCCAAUCCAUGUUGCACCGCUUUAAGAUAUAUUAGUCUCGAUGCAAUGUGUCUAUAUAUCAUUAUUAAUGAACUCAAAUACCUAUUCAUUGCCCAAGCGUGGAGAAGGCUAGUGUGUACUCUGUUUAUCUUAUGUUUGCACGUUUUAUUGAUGUGAAGUUCAGACAUAUUUACCUAGAUGUACAAGUUUGUAUAGUUUAGUUCGCUAUGUUGUUCUGUGCUUUUCAGUGUUCUUUUUUCUCCUAAUUCUACCUGUCAUCUUUAUGCUGAAAAAUGUGAAUGCCAAAAUUGACUCGUAACAAGGUUUUUUUCAGAUAGCGUGUACUCAUUUCCGGCUGCAUUUUGAAUGACAAUAUAAUAUAGUAUAAAUUCAUUUAACUAAAUUCAAGAGCAAGUUAUAUAAUUAAUCCUUAAGAUAUUUUGACUUAAGUAUAUAUGUAUUUUAUACUGUGACUUAAUAUAGUAUAUGUUAGAGCCCGCCUAAAGUUUUUACCUCAUGUUUUAUUGCAUGUUUUUUCUUUUCCUUGAUGGGUCACUUCAUUUCCUUGAUGUUUUUUCUUCCAACUGUUUCACUGUCGGUUUUGCUACAGAAAAUACAGAAUAUCUUUAUGUGACUCUAGGUUUAUAUAUAUAAUAAAUUUCUUUACCAACUUACUCAAAUUGUGUGAAAUUUGAUCUUAACUCUAAUUGAUAAUAACUUGGCUUGGUAGCUUUCAUUGGAUUUUUUGUCUCCAGCAUAUAAUUGAAGAAGUAAUUUAAUAGAUGAAUCUGAAUAAUCUCAUAUUGACUUCAUGUUUAUAACUUACGAUAUGAUUCUACUAUGUAGCAAGUGUGUAUGUAGAGUCUUGUUUCGUACUUGUUUGUUGUGAAACAUCAUAAUGUAUCUAGUUACACGUUUGUCAUGAAUUCAAAUAGCGGGUGUGCAUGCUGUCUAAUUUAUUUCAUUUCUACUUUGCUUUUCGUUUUUAGAUAAUAAAUUGGCAGCAAAAAACAUUUUGACCUUUUUGGCAUAGUUCCGGUGAUUUGUCCUCCUCCGUUCCGGUGAUGUUGGUAUCGUCUUCUGAAGCUUGCUGCUUUGGUUUAGGUCGCGGCUAAUCUAUUUUGCUUUGACUUCUGAUCUGAUUUAGGGUGCUGGCUAAUCCAUCAUGCUCUGAUUGCUAUAUGUUUUAGGGUCGUGGCUUACACUUUUUUAUCCUAAUUGCUGAUUUGAUUCAAGGUUGUCACAAUUAAUGGAGAUUAUUUUUGGUGAGAGCGUUGUGUUUGUUUAACGGAGAUUAUUUAAAUGUGGAGCAGUUCGUUUGCUUUCAUCUUUGUUCGUUACGGUGGAUUGGUCUUGGUCGGUUGUUUGACAUGAUUGGAAUGAGAGAUUGAAGGUUGAGUGGUUUGGAUUGGUCUGUUCCAUUGGUGAUUCAAUAAUGUUCUGCGUACAGUGCUUUAUCUUUUUGCGGUGAAAAACAGUGAUUUGGGAGACAGUCCAGACAGUCAAAUUUCUGCAGUUUUUCUGCAUUUGAUCCCGUUCUUUCAUGACUUAGUCAGAUUCAAUAAGAGUUAGUGGAAAAAGGUUUGCUAUGCCUAUCCGGAUAUAUUUGCUUUCGCCUAGCAGCCUAUGCAUGUCAGACCAUAUCAAAGGGAUUUUGCUAUGUUGUGUGCUGUGUUAUAAAUGUAGAGCUGGGAUAUGUACUUCUUGAACUGUGUGGACAUGCUCAUGGUGGAGAUUCUUCAGUGGCUAUAUUUAGGUCACACCUUUUGAUUGGUUUCAUUUCAAGAUCCCUAAGAAUAUCGGAGGUGCUUGUUUUGUUUGCGUUCUAGAUGUAACUUUCUUGGGAAGUACCCUCAAAGAACAUGGAAGUUUGCUUUUGAAGUAAUCUGUUUGAAGUUUCAAGUACAUUGAAGAAAGCUGCUGAACUAGUUUACUGCCUGCCAUGUUUUGAUUGGGUGACACAUCAAG